GUAGGAUGUGGAAAUUAUGAGGCUGUCAACACCAUUGCAGCAUCCAAGAAGGGUAUAAAGUGAAGAUUGUAACACCUUUGAUUCGGUUGCUCGACGACCGGGCUAGGGGUGUUACAUAUAGCUUUGUUGCCACAAGAACUGCCCACCUAGAAGGCAAUGGUUGUCAUCUGUUGCCACCUUCCAGCCUAAUGUCGAGAGCUGCUGCUUUGUCGUCUCCGCAGCCGCUGCAGCCCGGUGCACCAGCGAACUCUUUGCCUAGUCUGUCAGGCUGCCUCCUUGCACAAUGAUAAUCUUGUUUUUCAUCUUUGUAUACCAAUUCUAGAUUUGCCAUUAAAUAUAAUACUUCAGUUAAUGUA